UACCAGCACCCCGAGUGGUCGGGACGUUUUAUUGGGCCUAAAGCAUCCGUAGCCGGUUCUACAAGUCUUCCGUUAAAUCCACCUGCUUAACAGAUGGGCUGCGGAAGAUACUAUAGAGCUAGGAGGCGGGAGAGGCAAGCGGUACUCAGUGGGUAGGGGUAAAAUCCGUUGAUCCAUUGAAGACCACCAGUGGCGAAGGCGGCUUGCCAGAACGUCGCUGCGACGGUGAGGGAUGAAAGCUGGGGGAGCAAACCGGG
rnacentral:rRNA from 1 species